AAUUUUGAAAUAUGUAACCUCUGGUCAGACACAUUACAUGUAGGCUCCAUGCGUGGUUACCAUGGUUACAUUUUUCUAAACAUUAAGGACUGAACUAGCCAUAUGCUAUUUCGACUUAACAAGUAGCCUAGCCUACGUAUAAUAACAUGUCAAAAUCAAAGCAAGACCAACUGUAUGAGUUUAAUAUGCAGAGAGAGACGUGGUGUCGCGUAGAGACAACCAGCAGGUUCUGGAAUUUACCUGAAAGGAAACACUUCCGUUGUCACCUCAGGAACAGCUGUGACUUCAGCGGGCUGCAGACUGCGCGUCCCGAGCAGCGGUGCUCCUGGAUGGGCAGCAGCAACAACACUACACAUCCCGAGCGGAGACACUUUGAAGACGGCUAUAAAGCUCACCUGGUGUGAGGAACUGCAAUCAACCUCAGUGCAAAGCAAAUGUUUUUCUACAGACAGUAAUAAAAAUGUAUAAUGAAACAAUCUGGCAA